UACGUAGGGUGCGAGCGUUGUCCGGAAUUACUGGGCGUAGAGGGCUCGUAGGCGGCCAACUAAGUCAGACGUGAAAUCCCUCGGCUUAACCGGGGAACUGCGUCUGAUACUGGAUGGCUUGAGGUUGGGAGAGGGAUGCGGAAUUCCAGGUGUAGCGGUGAAAUGCGUAGAUAUCUGGAGGAACACCGGUGGCGAAGGCGGCAUCCUGGACCAAUUCUGACGCUGAGGAGCGAAAGCCAGGGGAGCAAACGGG
rnacentral:rRNA from 1 species